UACGUAGGGGGCAAGCGUUUAUCCGGAAUUACUGGGCGUAAAGCGCACGCAGGCGGUCUGCUAAGUUUGGAGUGACAGUUGGUGGCUUAACUGCCAAAGUGCUUCGAAAACUGACAGACUUGAGGGCUUCAGAGGGACACGGAAUUCCGGGUGGAGUGGUGAAAUGCGCAGAUAUCGGGGAAGAACACCCGUGGCGAAGGCGGCUCUCUGGGACGGUACUGACGCUGAGACGCGAAAGCGUGGGGAGCGAACAGG
rnacentral:rRNA from 1 species